rnacentral:rRNA from 1 species
UACGUAGGCAGCGAGCGUUGUUCGGAAUUACUGGGCGUAAAGCGCGCGCAGGCGGCUAUCCAAGUCAGUGGUGAAAGCCCGGAGCUCAACUCCGGAACUGCCAUUGAAACUGUUUAGCUUGAGGACGAGAGAGGUGAGUGGAAUUCCCAGUGUAGAGGUGAAAUUCGUAGAUAUUGGGAAGAACACCGGUGGCGAAGGCGGCUCACUGGCUCGUAUCUGACGCUCAGGCGCGACAGCGUGGGGAUCAAACAGG